rnacentral:tRNA from 2 species
GUUUUAAUAAUUUAAGAUAAAAUAUUGGUCUUGUAAACCAAAAAUAAGAAACCUUUUAAAACU